UCCGCCCAAUCACUCUUCGAUUGUUGUCAUUGUAUUCUACUUUUUAUGCUACCAGUUGGUUUAACUCUCCACCGAUCUGUAUUCGUCUUCCAGUUCCUUCCACCGUUUCAAUUUCUCUCUCCUAAGCUGAGUCUCCCUUACACUUAAAUUUUCUCACCGUCUCCACAACGCCACCGUUCCACGGCUACCUACUCCUUUAUUACACUAACUGACGGCUUCCUUCGUUCUUUAACGAACCCAAACGCCUUGCUUCACCGGAUACAAGCCGUGGCGAGGUAGUGAAGCGGAGGAGAGGGAGGCCGAAUAAAGAUGUAUGUAACCACUACUCUCUCUGGAUAAAGAGUUCGUCGUGCCUUCUCCAUCUUCGGUACUGUUUAAACUCGGUUGGCUUUACCCCUGCACUGUUUGCACCGACUAUCUGAGCCAAUAAUAUUAAAAUUGUUGCCGAUCAAGCUCAUUGUUUCAUACAAGACCUCAUCGUUUCUGUCUCAAAAAUCAUUCGUCACUGCCAAGUAUAUGUGCCGCUUCUGUGCUUUUCCGGUCAUUCAACUAUGAUUCCACCGCUCCCGCUAUUCAUUUGGAACAUCGGUUGCACUGCAAAACCUUUGAUUGUCGGGUGGAGAACGGAGUGAUUUGGCGGUGAUGGAGAUGGACGUAUGUGAAGGUAAAAGUCGCUGAUUAGGUAAGUCAAAAAGAGGAGAGUCGUGGUGGUGUUCGUCGCUGCGUCAUCUGAACUACACUUCAACCCCAAUUUGGUGAGGACGAAAUUGGGAUAAACGCAAUAAAGUAUGCCUUGAGAGCUCAUAGAAAGCGUCAUCUUGAGGAGGAUGGAGCUUAUCCCCUGCUUUUACAACUAUUUCAAAACCUAUUGAUUUUCAGAUGGAGCUGAGGGUGCGCCUUUACUUAAUGAUCAUCUGUUAUUUGGGGAUUGAUAUAGAAAUUGGUGAGUUUAUCCAAGUUCUCUUUGAUGAAUCUGCAUGCAGUAAUAAAGGGAAUUGGAAGGUUAAUGACAUGCUGUCAGUUGCAAUGGAAGAAGUAACAGUGGAACACUGUAAAAAGAAUGAGGUAGAAGAUGACCCCUCUGUUUGUGUGUAUAUUAUAUGCAGUUUUACUAUCUAGAUUAUUGUUCAUCAAAACUAGAAUGGAUAAAAGUAUGUACCUUUGGCAAUCAUGUACCACAUUUUCUUCUCAUUUAUAAGUGGGCCAACCCAAGAGACUACAUCUUUGAGGAAAUAAUUGAAACUGUAGCAAGAAAAAAGAAUCGCUUAUCACUAUCAAUAUGAAUCCAUUUACACCAUGUUUGCAUUUUCUGCAGCAUAAAGGUACGUUUAUAGUUUAGAUGCUUGAUUUGUUGGUCUUGAUCUAGAAUAUCUUUUUUUUGUACCGGUUCGACUUUAAUGAAUUUGGUUUAUGAUUUUGUAA